ensembl:snRNA U6 U6 spliceosomal RNA
GUGCUCACUUCGGCAGCACAUAUACUAAAAUUGGAAUGAUACAGAGAAGAUUAGUAUGGCCCCUGCACAAGGAUGACACACAAAUUCAUGAAGCAUUACAUAUUNNN